ACUGCUACUCUCUAGCGAGCGUGGCCAUGUCCACAUCAAUGAAAUUGGUGUACCAUUUAAGGUCGUGCAAACCACGGACAAAGGCUGCCUUUUUGGGAGGGACAUAAAAGGUGUCCGAGGCUUAAAGAUCAGCGAGGAGAAAGAAACAGAGUGGUCGGCUGCCACCUUCAAGCAAAAGAAGGUUAAGCUUCAAGGAACCAAGAAAAAGGGGUGCACUGCAAUGGUGCACAUCAAAGAGAUUGAAAUUUAACCAGAAUUCCAGACGAACCUCUCGAACCAAUGUUCAAAGUGGGAGCAUCAGAUUGCAAGAGAAGAGGUAAUCUCCAGAUUUGAAAUGGCAC
rnacentral:lncRNA from 1 species